GGAUCAAGUCGUCGGUCGUGCUUAGGUACGUACUGGCGUCAUUUAUUUCUCCCUUCUGACGAACCAUGAUGUCAUUAAUUUGGUGUUGCGGGGAAUUUGGACUGUUACUUUGAAAAAAUUAGAGUGUUUAAAGCAAGCUAACGCUUGAAUACAUUAGCAUGGAAUAAUGAAAUAGGACGUUCGAUCCUAUUUUGUUGGUUUCUAGGAUUGACGUA
rnacentral:rRNA from 1 species